AGUAAAGUAAGCUAAAUAGACUAUCAGGCCCAUACCCUGAUCGUGAUGGUGAAACCCCCUCCUUUGCUA
rnacentral:tRNA from 1 species